CAAAAACAUGUCCUCUUGUUAUUUAUUUGAGGUCUAACCUGCUCAAUGAUAUUUUAAAUGGCCGCGGUAUUUUAACUGUGCUAAGGUAGCAUAAUAAAUUGUCUUUUAAUUGGAGGCUAGAAUGAAUGGUUGGACGAAAUAUAAGCUUUCUUUAAUUUAUAGUAUGAAUUUAAUUUUUUGGUUAAAAAGCUAAAAUUUUUUUGUUGGACGAGAAGACCCUAUAGAUCUUUAUAAUUUUUUAUGUAUAAUUUUUUAGUGGUUAAUGUAUUAUAUAUAUUUAACUAUUUUGUUGGGGUGACAUUGGAAUUAAUUUAACUUCUAUAUUUUUUUUUCAUUAAUUAGUGUUAUUUUGAUCCAUUAUUAUUGAUUAUAAGAUWAAGAUACCUU
rnacentral:rRNA from 1 species